rnacentral:rRNA from 1 species
AACGAACGCUGGCGGCAUGCCUAACACAUGCAAGUCGAACGAGACCUUCGGGUCUAGUGGCGCACGGGUGCGUAACGCGUGGGAACCUGCCCUUAGGUUCGGAAUAACUCCCCGAAAGGGGUGCUAAUACCGGAUAAUGUCUUCGGACCAAAGAUUUAUCGCCUUUGGGUGGGCCCGCGUUGGAUUAGCCAGUUGGUAGGGUAAAAGCCUACCAAGGCGACGAUCCAUAGCUGGUCUGAGAGGAUGAUCAGCCACACUGGGACUGAGACACGGCCCAGACUGCUACGGGAGGCAGCAGUGGGGAAUAUUGGACAAUGGGCGAAAGCCUGAUCCAGCAAUGCCGCGUGAGUGAUGAAGGCCUUAGGGUUGUAAAGCUCUUUUACCCGGGAUGAUAAUGACAGUACCGGGAGAAUAAGCUCCGGCUAACUCCGUG